UUAGAGUUUGAUCCUGGCUCAGGACGAACGCUGGCGGCGUGCCUAACACAUGCAAGUCGAGCGGUUCUCACCUAAAAACCUUCGGGGGCUUAGGUGAGGAUAGCGGCGAACGGGUGAGUGACGCGUGAGAAACCUGCCUUUCACAAAGGGAUAGCCUCGGGAAACUGGGAUUAAUACCUUAUGAAACUAUAAUAUCGCAUGAUAUAAUAGUCAAAGAUUUAUCGGUGAAAGAUGGUCUCGCGUCCCAUUAGCUAGUUGGUGAGGUAAGAGCUCACCAAGGCGACGAUGGGUAGCCGGCCUGAGAGGGUGAACGGCCACACUGGAACUGAGACACGGUCCAGACUCCUACGGGAGGCAGCAGUGGGGAAUAUUGGUCAAUGGGCGAAAGCCUGAACCAGCUAUGUAGCGUGAAGGAUGACUGCCCUAUGGGUUGUAAACUUCUUUUGUUCGGGAAUAACAGACUUCACUUGUGGAGUUUUGCAUGUACCGUUCGAAUAAGGAUCGGCUAACUCCGUGCCAGCAGCCGCGGUAAUACGGAGGAUCCUAGCGUUAUUCGGAAUCAUUGGGCGUAAAGGGCGCGCAGGCGGCGUGUAAAGUCUGGCGUGGAAGUCCCCGGCUCAACUGGGGGAUUGCGUUGGAAACUGGCACGCUUGAGUACGACAGGGGAUGGCGGAAUUCCAGGUGUAGGGGUGAAAUCUGUAGAUAUCUGGAGGAACACCAAUGGCGAAGGCAGCCAUCUGGAUCAGUACUGACGCUGAGGCGCGAAGGUGCGGGGAGCAAACAGGUUUAGAUACCCUGGUAGUCCGCACAGUAAACGAUGUGCACUAGGUGUCGGGCAGUCAAUGUUCGGUACCGCAGCAAACGCGUUAAGUGCACCGCCUGGGGAGUAUGCCCGCAAGGGUGAAACUCAAAGGAAUUGACGGGGGCCCGCACAAGCGGAGGAACAUGUGGUUUAAUUCGAUGAUACGCGAGGAACCUUACCCGGGCUCGAACGGUGCAUGAAUAUACGAGAGAUUGUAUAGUCCUUCGGGACAUGUAUCGAGGUGCUGCAUGGUUGUCGUCAGCUCGUGCCGUGAGGUGUCGGCUUAAGUGCCAUAACGAGCGCAACCCUUGUCAUUAGUUGCCAUCAUUUAGUUGGGCACUCUAACGAGACUGCCGGUGACAAAUCGGAGGAAGGUGGGGAUGACGUCAAAUCAUCAUGCCCCUUAUGUCCUGGGCUACACACGUGCUACAAUGGUCGGUACAACGAGCAGCUACACAGCAAUGUGAUGCAAAUCUCUUAAAGCCGAUCCCAGUUCGGAUUGUAGGCUGCAACUCGCCUACAUGAAGUCGGAGUUGCUAGUAAUCGCGAAUCAGAAUGUCGCGGUGAAUGCGUUCCCGGGUCUUGCACACACCGCCCGUCA
rnacentral:rRNA from 1 species